AUUGGACGCUGGCGGCAUGCUUUACACAUGCAAGUCGAGCGGAGCGAGGGUGCUUGCACCUUAGCUUAGCGGCGGACGGGUGAGUAAUGCUUAGGAAUCUGCCUAUUAGUGGGGGACAACAUUCCGAAAGGAAUGCUAAUACCGCAUACGCCCUACGGGGGAAAGCAGGGGAUCUUCGGACCUUGCGCUAAUAGAUGAGCCUAAGUCAGAUUAGCUAGUUGGUGGGGUAAAGGCCUACCAAGGCGACGAUCUGUAGCGGGUCUGAGAGGAUGAUCCGCCACACUGGGACUGAGACACGGCCCAGACUCCUACGGGAGGCAGCAGUGGGGAAUAUUGGACAAUGGGCGAAAGCCUGAUCCAGCCAUGCCGCGUGUGUGAAGAAGGCCUUUUGGUUGUAAAGCACUUUAAGCGAGGAGGAGGCUACUUGGAUUAAUACUCUAGGAUAGUGGACGUUACUCGCAGAAUAAGCACCGGCUAACUCUGUG
rnacentral:rRNA from 1 species